GUGGGGAAUCUUGCGCAAUGGGCGAAAGCCUGACGCAGCCAUGCCGCGUGAAUGAUGAAGGUCUUAGGAUUGUAAAAUUCUUUCACCGGGGACGAUAAUGACGGUACCCGGAGAAGAAGCCCCGGCUAACUUCGUGCCAGCAGCCGCGGUAAUACGAAGGGGGCUAGCGUUGCUCGGAAUUACUGGGCGUAAAGGGAGCGUAGGCGGACAUUUAAGUCAGGGGUGAAAUCCCGGGGCUCAACCUCGGAAUUGCCUUUGAUACUGGGUGUCUUGAGUGUGAGAGAGGUAUGUGGAACUCCGAGUGUAGAGGUGAAAUUCGUAGAUAUUCGGAAGAACACCAGUGGCGAAGGCGACAUACUGGCUCAUUACUGACGCUGAGGCUCGAAAGCGUGGGGAGCAAACAGGAUUAGAUACCCCGGUAGUCC
rnacentral:rRNA from 1 species